rnacentral:rRNA from 1 species
UUCGCCCUUAGAGUUUGAUCCUGGCUCAGAACGAACGCUGGCGGCAUGCCUAACACAUGCAAGUCGAACGAGCCCUUCGGGGUUAGUGGCGCACGGGUGCGUAACGCGUGGGAAUCUGCCCUUGGGUUCGGAAUAACUCGCCGAAAGGCGUGCUAAUACCGGAUGAUGUCGAAAGACCAAAGAUUUAUCGCCCAAGGAUGAGCCCGCGUAAGAUUAGGUAGUUGGUGAGGUAAAGGCUCACCAAGCCGACGAUCUUUAGCUGGUCUGAGAGGAUGAUCAGCCACACUGGGACUGAGACACGGCCCAGACUCCUACGGGAGGCAGCAGUGGGGAAUAUUGGACAAUGGGCGAAAGCCUGAUCCAGCAAUGCCGCGUGAGUGAUGAAGGCCUUAGGGUUGUAAAGCUCUUUUACCCGGGAUGAUAAUGACAGUACCGGGAGAAUAAGCUCCGGCUAACUCCGUGCCAGCAGCCGCGGUAAUACGGAGGGAGCUAGCGUUGUUCGGAAUUACUGGGCGUAAAGCGCACGUAGGCGGCCUUGUCAGUCACAGGUGAAAGCCUGGAGCUCAACUCCAGAACUGCCUUUGAGACCCC